UACCAAGCGCAACCCUUUGUCCUAAGUUACCAGCACGUUAUGGUGGGCACUCUAAGGAGACUGCCGGUGACAUACGGAGGAGGGUGGGGAUGAGGUCAAGUCAUCAUGGCCCUUACGGCCUGGGCUACACACGUGCUACAAUGGUCGGUAAGAGGGUUGCCAAGCCGCGAGGUGGAGCUAAUCUCACAAAACCGAUCGUAGUCCGGAUCGCAGUCUGCAACUCGACUGCGUGAAGUCGGAAUCGCUAGUAAUCGCGAAUCAGAAUGUCGCGGUGAAUACGUUCCCGGGCCUUGAC
rnacentral:rRNA from 1 species